rnacentral:rRNA from 1 species
UCAUGGCGCAGCUGAGCAGCGACGCCGCGUGAGGGAUGACGGCCUUCGGGUUGUAAACCUCUUUCAGUAGGGAAGAAGCGAAAGUGACGGUACCUGCAGAAGAAGCGCCGGCUAACUACGUGCCAGCAGCCGCGGUAAUACGUAGGGCGCAAGCGUUAUCCGGAAUUAUUGGGCGUAAAGAGUUCGCCACGCGGUUUGUCGCGUCUGCCGUGAAAGUCCGGGGCUCAACUCCGGAUCUGCGGUGGGUACGGGCAGACUAGAGUGAUGUAGGGGAGACUGGAAUUCCUGGUGUAGCGGUGAAAUGCGCAGAUAUCAGGAGGAACACCGAUGGCGAAGGCAGGUCUCUGGGCAUUAACUGACGCUGAGGAGCGAAAGCAUGGGGAGCGAACAGGAUUAGAUACCCUGGUAGUCCAUGCCGUAAACGUUGGGCACUAGGUGUGGGCGGACAUUCCACGUUUUCCGCGCCGUAGCUAACGCAUUAAGUGCCCCGCCUGGGGAGUACGGCCGCAAGGCUAAAACUCAAAGGAAUUGACGGGGGCCCGCACAAGCGGCGGAGCAUGCGGAUUAAUUUCGAUGCAACGGCGUAAGAACCUUACCAAGGCUUGACAUGAACCGGUAAUACCUGGAGAACAGGUGCCCCGCUUGCGGUCGGUUUACAGGUGGUGCAUGGUUGUCCGUCAGCCUCGUGUCGUGAGAUGUUGGGUUAAGUCCCGCAACGAGGCGCAACCCUCGUUCUAUUGUUGCCAGCACGUGAUGGUGGGGACUCAUAUAGCGAGACUGCCGGGGUCAACUCGGAGGAAGGUGGGGACGACGUCAAAUCACUCAGUGCCCCUUAUGUUCUUGGGCUUCACGCAUGUCUACAAUGGCCGGUACAAAGGGUUGCGAUACUGUGAGGUGGAGCCUAAUCCCAAAAAGCCGGUCUCAGUUCGGAUUGGGGUCUGCAACUCGACCCCAUGAAGUCGGAGUCGCUAGUAAUCGCAGAUCAGCAACGCUGCGGUGAAUACGUUCCCGGGCCUUGUACACACCGCCCGUCAAGUCACGAAAGUUGGUAACACCCGAAGCCGGUGGCCUAACCCCUUGUGGGAGGGAGCUGUCGAAGGUGGGACUGGCGAUUGGGACUAAGUCGUACAAGGGUAACCAA